rnacentral:lncRNA from 1 species
AUCAAUAGACGAGGGGGCGAUGAAGUGCAGCACAGUCACCCUGAGAAAUCGCGUUCCUCUGCGAGGAAAUGAAGCUAUGGAAUCGAAAACAGAAUAGUCAACAACUGGAAAAACUAUGGUAGGAAGGAGAAUAUUGGGGGAGUGGAUUUCAAGUGGGGAAGAGGGAAUGGGAAGAUGGGAGAGGAACGGGGAUGGGCGGAGUCAACCCAAACUAAGUGUAAUUAUGUAUAAAAAUGCCACAGGGAAACCUACUGUUCUGAAUGCUGACUGAAAACACAAGAAACAGUAUGUCAGGGCAGGAACUCUUCUGUCUGGUUGGCCAUGUGCUCUUGACCCUGAUCUUUGUAACUAAGGAGCGUCUGAUUCCAGUCCACUCUGGACACUCUUGAGAAAACAUCUGGCUCCCUGUCAAACCACUGUGACCUCGUAGCCAUUCGUGCUGGUGCCAGCCAUCCUUGCCUUAAACAUCUUGCGUCCCUUCUUUCUUCCCUUCGUAUCCUUUCAGCCGACGUCCAGUGGGUGCUCACUGGAAACCUGACCAUGAAGAAGAAAGAGGCCCUGCUCUCAGGAGAGUGGUAACAGAGACGUGAAAUCCAGGCGAGGACUACUCAGAGCUAGGAUGGGCUGGAAGACAGGAGGAAAUUGACCGGUUUUUGAUGGGAAGCCCUUAGAAGGAUUCUUUGUGAGCACCACCUUUAAGAUAAAGCAGAAUACAAGCCAGUGUUCACUAUUGUAAAACAGAGAGGAGGAAACAGUCCACAAAGAGAAAACCCCACGCUGGAAGGCUCAGGGAGGUACCUGGAGCUUUUACAGGAGACGGAACCACUCUUCCUUGUCCCUCUUUUAGGAAAAUGCUGAACACAUAAAGGUAUGCAGAGAAAUGCAGACUGAAGGGUUUCUUGAGAGAAUGCACAGUAUACAAUCUUUGUUAUUAACACACCUCCCAUGCCUC